rnacentral:rRNA from 1 species
AUUGAACGCUGGCGGCAUGCCUUACACAUGCAAGUCGAACGGUAACAGGUCUUCGGAUGCUGACGAGUGGCGAACGGGUGAGUAAUACAUCGGAACGUGCCUAGUAGUGGGGGAUAACUACUCGAAAGAGUGGCUAAUACCGCAUGAGAUCUACGGAUGAAAGCAGGGGAUCGCAAGACCUUGUGCUACUAGAGCGGCCGAUGGCAGAUUAGGUAGUCGGUGGGAUAAAAGCUUACCAAGCCGACGAUCUGUAGCUGGUCUGAGAGGACGAUCAGCCACACUGGGACUGGGACACGGCCCAGACUCCUACGGGAGGCAGCAGUGGGGAAUUUUGGACAAUGGGCGCAAGCCUGAUCCAGCAAUGCCGCGUGCAGGAUGAAGGCCUUCGGGUUGUAAACUGCUUUUGUACGGAACGAAAAGCCCUGGGUUAAUACCCUGGGGUCAUGACGGUACCGUAAGAAUAAGCACCGGCUAACUACGUGCCAGCCGCCGCCGUAAGAC